UAGUCACAGUAUCUUGUCAUUACAUGCAAGAAACCAAAAUGGACAUUCCUUAAUUUUAUUAAUUUUUUUUUCUCUCCACAUAAUAAAUAAAGUCAUGAGGCUAAAUCAGGAGAGAGCUUUAAUUCUGGACAAAACAUCUAAUAACUGGAGCUUGAAGAUUGGCAUGAAUCUAAAACUAUUUGCUUUUUAAUAUAUAUAUAAAAAAAAAAAAUUACACUGUUCUUAAACUCUUAAGCUUCAUCUUUUUUCAACUGUGAUUAAAACAGUAGCCUAUAGGCGACAUGUAUUUGUUUUAGUUAUAAUUUCAAGUAGUUUCCUUGUCAAUAAAGUCCAUAAACGCCCGGGAAAGUCCAUGAAUGAGUUCAUAAUUCCUGUUUAAGGAAAAUUCGUUUCUUGUUCAAUUGUGAAUCGCAGAAAAAAAAAGAAAAGAAAAACAGGUCAAGGGCGCGCGCUUAGAGAACCAGGUGCGGGCGCUCUCGUGGGCGCCAAACCACAUGAUACGAGCAGCCAGCCAUCCGAUCGCGGAAGUGCGACUUUUUUUGGACCGUGGAGGCGGGAGGGGGGGUAGACUGGGGGAGGAAAGGAAGGCAGAGCCGAAAAGAAAAGUUUCAUGAUAUUACUCGCACUCGACGUGGAAAUGAGCCUGGCGAGACCAGUGCUUUAUUGGGUGUCUGGACCGUCUUUUGUUCCUCAAAUGUGAUAUUUUCAGCAGUUGAUCUGAACAGAGCAGGACCGGAAUCGAGGGGCAGAGAGGAGAGAAAGCGAUCGGGAAAACUGACACACAAAAGAGCGUUUUCCAAUGGAGUAUGUGGUAAGCGUUUCCCCAAAAAUACCUGCAUGUACGUAUCCCCAGGCAUGGAGGCUGGUCAUACAUUAUCGAAAAACCUGACCUGACUCAUUUUGUCCAGUUAGUGUGGAAGCCAGUAGGCUAACUUAUAAACACGCUUUAUGCUAUUACACAGACGGAGACGCAACCGACAAGAAUUACACCCUUUAUAAUUGGUAUGAAUUCCUUGUCAUUGAUGAUUUAGGUUAAAUUACAUUAAUUUGUUGGGCGUGCCUCGAUUAACUAGUUGUAUUACAAGCCUCACGCAUAAUAUGCUUCUCUUUCACUAUGUAUCAUGUAGUUCAUUAUUGAAAUAGGCUUUGAUUUUAUCCUCUGUGCUUAUUUUUAAUUGAUGUGAGUCUGGUCCUUGCAGUUACAUGGCAACAAAAGUUUUAGUACAGUGAGCUGGGUAAGAAGAGAACAUCUAGUGCAGUCUAUGAAUAUCUUUUACUGCAUUCCGCACAUGCACGCGCACUGUGCUUUAUACACAACAUUACGUUUCUUCAGGGAGUUGAAAAUGUAGGUCAUUAGAUUUACCAUAAUGCUCUGUAUCUCUCUGUGUUAGCUCACUUCCUGUCCUUCCGUUCUGAGAUGCUCAAGAGUGUGUGGGUCUCUAGGUGAAACACCUUCAUGUUGUCAUUUGAUGCGAAUCAUCAGCCUCUAUGCCUAGGGUUACACUUCCAAAUUGCACCAGGUGAUGGGAUGGGUGUCUGGACCUUCACUUUGCCACAUGUGUAUUCCCCUAUUCUUUUCUAACUACUUCUUUCUGAGGUGUGGGUUUACUUUUUCAUUUUAUCUCAAUGUGUUGGAGAUCUUGGGUCAUGGCACCAGAAUUGUAAAUUAAAGCGGGGAGUCUGGGAUUUGUUGUCUUUUAUUACCUGCUGUGGGUUCCUUUGGGGGUUCUUGGGUUCGUCUUGGCAUACAUCUUUUCUUUUUUGUUUGUACUUAUUCCUGGAAGCUUGUGUUAUGAAUUGAGAAUUUUGCUAUUGCAUGUUGCGUUUAUUGUGUUUUUUGUUUUGCUCUUUAAUUUAAGGGGGUGUGUGGUAGGAAGAAUUUUGAUCUUGAUUUGCGGACGAUAAAAAUGUCUCCAUGAUCUGCUUUUGAAGGAAUAUCGUAGUAUCGUGCUACAGCGCACAUUCUAUCAGCUGCAGUUCUGGCGUACAUUUAUGCACAUGGUGUACACAUACAUUUACAUCACUGACUAUGUUUACAAAGACAUCAGUAAUCUAAUUAUUUACCUUAUUCUAAAAAGACAAUAAUACAUGAGUUGCUUUUAGAUUAUUCUUUUCAUGUUCCCGUUUUACAUGUUAUAGUA
ensembl:lncRNA